UAAAUCCUUACCUAAGGAAAAAGAUCACAUUAUAAAUACGCUUUUUUAUGAGUGCAGUUUUGAAUCAUCCUGUGUCCGGCGGUCAGCUACAUCCGACAUUAGUGAGUUCUGACUAUUCGUAAGCACCAAUGAGGCGCUCUUGGGUAGACGUAUUUCUUUUCGUGCUUGAACCUCGGGGAUAUUUCUUUAACGGCUCCACCCGGCGUAAAUCUCGAAAAUUUUACCUAGUACCGUUUGUUUUACCGCAAUCAGCUUAGCGCCGUCACAAAGCUUCUAUAGAUGGGUUUGGCGGCAGCUGAGCUUCUAGUUUAGGCCUUCGCCAAAGUGUCAUAUGACAACAAUAAGAUCCGAUUGCUCUAGCGCCAGAGAACAUUGGCAGACCUAAAGCUGCUCUAUUCGUGGCGGGGCAAUGGUCAUACCGCAAUGAGCCAAUAAUGACCAGAGAAUAAAACUAGACACUACCCUGACUGCUAGUGCUGUCAUCGUCUUUAAAAUCUGCUUGUUGAUGGUGCCUAUGACGGAAGGUGCCGUCUAUUAUUGUUUUCCGCCUGUACGGUAGUAGACAACUUCUCUCCCACUCGCGGUAAUUCACUCUGUGGGGUUUAUUGCAAAUAUAGGAGCGCCUGUAGCGGUAUUGCUUAGCUGUUGGCUGGCUAGGUAAAGUACGUGUUGCCUGCUUUUGUUUGUCUUAACUAUUAACACACAACAUAAAUUUGCUGUGCGGAGUUUUUGUCUUUACUACCAUCGUGAGUUUUGGUGUAAUGACAGCUCAGUCCUACAGUAUGACUGAACGGUAGAGUAAUGACCAGUAGUUGGUGAAAGUUUCAUAGCGAACAGACAAAAUGCGGCGCCGGUGCUCUAUUGUUUUUUUGUCAACGACAGGUGGUUAAUUCCACUAAUCCGGUGACGGCGGUUUUUCGUCCGGUGUUCUAUAAUGGCCGCUGUCCAGUACCCCGCCCCAUUGGCCUCUCCCGGCCUCUCGUUGGCAGUGCACUCGUUUCUUGCAUCGCCUCAUGCUCGCAACACCUGCGGAAAUAAUGGCCUGCCACUCACACCGAACUCAGUGCGCAUACUCGGCCGAUUCCAGCUACUGAAAACUUUAACACACCCCUGCCUGGCUGCCUAUCUCGAUCUGCAGCGCGGUAAACAUGAACGGGUCGUCAUUGUAUGUGAGUACUACGAGCGCAACUGCCGCCGACUGCUCGCGUCUGAGCGGAGUCCGAUAGCUGAGAUACACAGCUUCGCGCACUUCGAUGGCCGAGAGGAUUAUACGCAGAUUGUACGACGGGUAUUUGUCGAGUCUUUGCACGCUCUUGCAUACGUACAUUCGCGAGGGCUCGUACACCACACUUUGUCCCUACAAAGUAUUCAGCUAACGGACUCUUUGCAUGUAAAACUUUCCAAUUAUGGCACCUAUUACGUGACAGAGUACGGGGCUUGUGUGCCAUUCCCUAUUGGCUUACCGAAGUAUCUGCCACCCGAGGUUCUACUUGAUAGGAAUGGGGUACAUUCGCCUAAGACGGACAUCUGGUCUCUUGGAAUUAUUUUGCUAGAGUUGGCGCUACGGAAGGAGCUUCUCAACUUCGAUCUUGAGGAACAGAUUCGUUUGGUGCUUAAAUGUGCUUCGAGCGAAAAACCGGUGAUGUGUAUUCUCGAAGCUCAUAAGCUCGUCUACGAGUAUCUGUGUUUGAAAGAAGACGUGCGUGAUACGAUUGAGGCCUGUCUAACAGUUGCGCUUAGUGAACGGCCUUCGUCAGAUGAGCUUCUUGCGCACGCUUAUUGCGAUAUUCAAGUGGAUUUGCUGACACGGCCCCGGAAGGGCCUGCCUCCACAUGAAUUGAUUGGUUCUGGAAGUGAUCAAGCGGAGGAACGUAUUAGCAACAGUUCACAAUUGCCAAAAGCGUGGGAGGUUCUCAACGUGCACGAAUUGUACUAUUUCUGGAGACUGACAGGCGGAGACGCGCUUGCCGAAGUUUCAAAACAGCGAGAUUAUAUUCGAAGUAAAGCUGCCAUCUUCGGCUUGCCAAAGCUGACACUACUCGAAGGUGAAGAUUGCGGUGCGAGCCGGGACUCAUCAUACUUUUAUCGCGACACAGUUCUUCGUCUUCCUAUGGAGCCCCUUCGUGAGCGACUCAAAUCGGUGGAUCCGGACAUCAUGCUCAAUUCGAUCAGCAUCCUCUACGAGGAAUACCGCGGUACUAGCAGAGCAGGUGAUCGCAGCCGAUCCGAGAGUUUCACGACAAAGACGGCUUCGGAACUUCCGCUAGUUAUUCGCGAACGCGAUAUGGAUUAUCAGAUCCGGCGAAUGUUCCGUUUUCGGCAAUUAGUUGAGCUCUAUCCACUAACAGGUCGAAGUAUUCGGUUGGAGGCAGAGACCGAUAUUCCACCAUACUUUCGAGGUCACGUGUGGGCAGCCCUUCUUGGCGCUCAGGGUGAUUAUCAGGCAGAGUUUGCUGAGGUGGAUAAGCACAGUGCCUCUUCGAUGGACCGUCAAAUUGAUGUGGACAUUCCUCGUUGUCAUCAAUACGACCCGCUGCUUAGUUCGCCCACGGCGCAUGCUAAGUUUCGUAGACUGCUCAAGGCGUGGGUCGCCUCUCACCCGCAAUAUGUCUAUUGGCAGGGCCUCGACUCGCUUUGUGCCCCGUUCCUUAGUCUACACUUCAACAACGAAGCACUGGCCUAUCAAUGCCUCUCACGUUUCGUCGACAAGUACCUUCAUAAGUUUUUUUUACAGGACAAUUCACUGGUGAUAAAGGAGUACUUGGCAGUAUUCUCUAGGCUUGUAGGCUAUCAUGAUCCAACCCUAUUUUUACAUCUUCAGCGGGAAGAGUUCAUACCUGAUCUUUAUGCGAUUCCAUGGUUCCUCACUAUGUAUACUCACGUGUUCCCCCUACACAAGAUAUAUCACCUGUGGGAUGCAUUACUUCUUCGAGGAGAGGCCUUCCCAUUAUGCGUGGGCGUUGCGAUCCUUCGACAGUUACGUGAACAAUUGUUAACGUUUGGCUUCAACGAGUGCAUCUUAACGUUCACCGACAUGCCAGAAUUAGACACUGAGAGGCUUGUGUGUGAUGCUGUGCACAUUUUUGAUGCUACUCCACCAAGUAUUUGCUAUCGGUCCCAUUCGCGCAAGCCAAUGAUGGGUAUGACGCCGUUAUCGCUCGAAACUCUACGUGAAGAGUUAAGUCCUCGAAUAUCGACUGAAGACUUUUUCGCAGCAAUGGCAGGUGGCAAUCGAGGAGAUUCCAGGGAACAAUCAGGUCGAGGACGAAGUCGGCCAGCGCAAGGGCAAAUCCCUAUAAGAGAUGUUCCAAGGGAACGCGUGCUUGUACUUGAUGUACGACCGAAGGGAGAGUUUCUUGAAGGUUGCCUUCGGGGGGCAGUCAGCAUGCCAAGCGCUACAGCAUUCACCGCGGAGGGCAAAUUGGCAUCUUGUGCGGAGGCAUCAGCAGUAGCAGCACAUCGAGGUCAUAUGAUUGUGCUUGUGGGCAGCGAAGACGAUAGGCGAAAAGUGGCAAAUCAGCUCGUGACACUGGAGUUCCCCCAUGUCGCCAUACUUGAUGCACAUCCGCAACAAUUGAAAUCACGAAUGGCCCCUCCAAUUUGCCUCUACUGACUGCACACGCCGGCACCAGCAGUAAGAAGAGGAUUAUGGUAAAUUUUAAAGGCCUGUGAAUGUUUUCACUGUAGUGCGGACGUCAAGUCGGGAAAAUCAAGGACCGAGAAAGAGUAAGAGGCUUUUCAGAAAGACCUCGACGUGAAGUGAAGGUUAUGGGUGAUUCGUUAUCGCUAGAAGUCACCAGAAGUGAGCACUUUCAUAUUGCAACUGCGGUUGAAUAGGAUAGAGGUGCCUUGUACCUAUGCGCCCGAGAGAAGUUAUUGAUAUUUCGCUAAACGGUGUCCAUCCGUCCUCCAUGUACCUCGCUCAUAAAAAAACUAUUCUGUAGCGGUGUCGAUGGCGCGGAAAUAAUGUGCUACACCCGAGUAAUAACCGCCAAACGAAGAUGUUGGAAAGUGCUCACAGCCCGGACUAAGCGGCAUCGAGACCCGCAUGUUCGUGACGCCUGCGCAACAUCGUUGGCUCCCGAGUGCGUUGAGAGCGAGCCUGAAGCAUCUGUAACACCGAAGAGACAGUAGCUUCUAGCGCGACAGCCACCGAUUAUCACAAUAGGACACAAUGCAUAAUAUUGGUUCUGUUGCUACCUCGGCAAAAUGCUAGUCCUUCAUAGAGUGCGAGCGAGAAAGCCUAAUGUCUUCCAGCUGAGCAACUCCAUUGAGCAGUCGCCUGACGCUACAACGCUGCUCUCUACAGAUCUAUGCAGAAUUCCCUUAUGGAGAGGGUGCCUUCUUCGAGAGCGUUCUUCGUCCGCCUUGAAAGGCUCCGUACCUUGCAGUGUUAUUGUUACUCAAUGGCUAGAUAGAAUGUCUAACGCACUCUUCGGUCACGGUGGCGUCUCUCCAUUUGAAGUUCGCUGAAUCGUCGGUUACUCUUCGUUCUACGGAACCCGGCGGCCAUACGCACCCGACGGCACCCCGCGCUUCGCUGGCGAAAUGCCUGUCUGGAGGACAACGGCAAGCGCGAAUAGUACAAUGCCGUUGAAGUACACAGGGAUAUAUCAAAGAAAAACGCGUCUCUGAAGAUAAUGAACAAACUCGAAUGCGAACAUCUUGCCGCCAAGGUUAUCAAAAAUGACAACAUCAAAUUAUACGGCUGCUUUUUAUUAACGUUGUACAGUUUUACAUGAACAGGAAAGAAAAAUGACUAUGUUGGGUUUAAGAUUCUCUAAAAGCUCUCUAAAAAGCAUUUGUUUCACCAUUUGAAGGUUUGAUGUAUAAUAAGCAACAUUGAGAGCGUUCUUGAAGCGGUUGAUUGAAAUCAAUGGAUGUUUUCAAAUUUGCAUGACUUAGUAAUGCAGCUAGAGACUAUCUUAGAAAGUCUAAGCCUGUUAAAGUCUAUCCUAACGACCAUGGCAUUCACGGACAAACUCGAUCCCAGUUCAGCAACGACUUUCCCAUGACGGCCAAUCCAAUACAGACGAUCAUUAGAAGUUUACAACUUUUCGAAUUUCUCAAUUGUCGACGCGAUACGAGCUCUCUCGGUCCUACUCUCUAGGAUAUCAGCUCCACUCAGAAUUUGAUUAUUCCGAGAGCCCUCAUCCGCUUUCCGUUGCACUUCUGAAUUCAACCUGUACAAAAUAUACAUGUUACAUUAAAGCCGGCCCUUAAUUCUGUGUUCGUAGUGUGCCAAGGGAGCGCUUGCUAUCAUUUUUAACCCUUAACAGAUGGGGUGAGUCGCUAUCCACAUUGCUUUACAUUACCAUGAAUUGUACAUCUUUCUACCAACGACGACGACAAUGCUGAUGAUGGUUAACACUAGAACACUUGCGAGUGUCUGUACCCGUUUGAUAUGUUUUUGCCUAACAGCGCCGUACGGCAGUUGUAAAUCGAUGAUGCGAGGAGUCACACCGAAGGCUAACAUCGUCGCACUUCAAGGGGCACCGGACACAUGGCCUCACCACGGGAGAUUCGAUCGUUAAAUGUUUCCGAAAUUGUAUCGAGUGAUGCAGAGAUCAUUUCAGGCCUCGACGGCGUUAGCGUCUAUCUCAGACGUCACGAAGUUGCUCUGCGAGUUUCGGAAAGGCUAAAUGAGUGUGAGGUCUCGUGCUCGUGCAUUGGAACAGAUUCUUUUUUUCCCGAUUAAACAUUCCGAAACAAAAUGUCUCCUUACGCAGAUCAAUACUAGAAAUCAAAUGAGAAAAGUUAAUUAAACCAUUACCAUGCCUGAUUUAUUCAACUAAAGUAAACUAUUUUUUAUCUUUCGCAUUCAUUGGCCCUUUGUUAUUCCAUGGAAGUCGAAAUAAAAGUAUAGUAAAUCGUAUAUCCGCCUAUUGCAAGAUAGAUAAGCAUCUAUUAGUUUCAGCGUAUCUACCAACAAAAAUCUCAAUUAGUUUAACCACGCAAAGACAUUUUUACCAGUGAAAAAACUGAAUAAAAAGGUGUCACCUUAGAAAGCUUUUUGCCGCUGAAGGUCAAUGCUCACACGUAACCCCAUGAUUCAGCUGUUUCGCAAUAUUUUGAAUAUAGUAUAUGCUCGCACGACUCUGUACACGGAACGGUUGUUUGUUAUCGUUUAUGUAACAUUUUGUCUUAGUCGUCAUAUUCAUUUCUAUUGUCUGUAUUAAUAUUAUUUAGAAUUGGUUUUCACGUAAUGUGUUAAACACUAUACAUUUCGUACUGAUAUUCACUCCCAAUUCACUGUACGCAGGCCUCAAAACGCUGUGUUAACCUGAAGGCUCAAAACGGACUCAACUUCGCUAACGAGCGGCACGAAUCGAUUCGUGGCGGGCAUUUGCAUUUUCGCUCUGGCAUCACUCUGGACAUGUUGGGUGCAAGCCUAUAGUCACUCACACACACACACACGCCCAUGACUAUACGUAAAGAUCAAAGCAUGCACAAGCGGUUUUGAUAUUCACACCUUCUAUGGGGUAUUCAAACACCGUGUAUAGCCCCAAUGAAGACCACCAGGAGCGUGCUUCACACGACCUCAUCUCGCCUACCGGGACCGAGAUGUGAGUGGAGGUGGAUCAACAUAAAAGCCCUCUCGAUAAACCACAAGCAAAUAAAACGUGGCUAAUAAUAACAACCAACAAUGAUCGAUCCGUUCAUCCACAAUAAGAUGGGUCCAUUAAGAGUCUUUCUGUUAAACACAAGGCUUCGAUCCGUCUAUUGUUGCUGAUGGGACUAGUGUCUGGGCUGGAUGUACUAAUAUGUUAUAGUUGGUCAAUAGACAGAACGUAGCGUAUUUGGUUUCAUACUUAUCCCAUUGAAACUUUUUUGAUCAUAGCAAAAAUAUAUUCUGCCACUAAUGUGAGCAGUGGCGGUGUGAAAAGGAUGAAUUACUGUUAACUUCACUAUGCACAACGGCGUUUCCUACGCCGCAUAAUGCAUGCUCUGAAUCGGAUUAAAUUGAACCGUAAAUCUACAGUAUAAUUAUAGAAUUAAUUGCUUGUUUAAAAUUUAUUAUUGUGGAGUUUUAAAUGACGGUUACAUAGAAAGAUGUUUUAACGAACAACUUACGUGAAUAAAUAAAAUUGCCAUAUGUUUUCUCUAAACCUUCAAGGUAAGAUUUGACUGCGACAAUUAUGGAUGAAACAACCAAAUGAAAAAUAAAACGGUUUUUUUUAGAAUUAAACAAUCUAACAAAUUCAAUGGGUGCCGGCAAUUUAUAUUACGUUGGAUCUUCGCCGUUUUUAACAUCCAUUCGAAGUGCCGACCGACUAAUUUACUCGAGUAAAUCUUUUCUAUAUUUAGCAAUAAUCGAAAAACGUCAAAGCCACGAUCGUGAUAUCUUUUUUCUGUUAAAAUUAAUCAUUUGUUGUACUACCCUAAUAUGCAUACACAGUUCAAUUUACAAUUCUAGUUACAAGGUGUAUUUCACAAUCGUGAGUUGCAAAUCCUGUGA